rnacentral:lncRNA from 1 species
CCUUUCUGUUUGUGGUGGAGGAGUUAUAUCUGCAUGUAUGUCUGCAUAGCAUGUACCUUCCUGGUACCUCUGGAAGCCAAAAGAAGGCCUCAGCUAUCCUGGAACUUGAGUUACAGAUGGUUGUGAGCCACCACAUAGGAAUGUUGGGAACUGAACCUGGGUCCUCAGGAAGACUGGCCAGUGUUCUUAACUGCUGAGUCAUCUCUCCAGCCUUGCACAGGGGAACAGCUGGAGGUUGCAAACAUGGUCGAGAAAGAACUCGCAGCUGAGACCCAUCUCAGGAGGUGCCUGUCUCCUCCAGGGCCACUCAACACAUCCAAUACUGUGACACAGGUAGGCUAGCCUCCUUCUCCUCUUUCCACCCUGUCUUUAGGAUCAUCUCCAGACAUCGAAGGGCAUCAUUAUCACGGAUAAGAACACAGAUGCUGGGGCUGGAGAGAUGGCGCAGAGGUUAAGAGCUGGCACUAAUCUUUCAGAGGACUGGAGUUUGGUUCCCAUCCCCAUGUUGGGCAGAUCAUGACGACCUGUGACUACAGCUUCAGAGGGCCUAGAACCUUCUUCUGGAGACCCUGCAUGCUCUGCCUUCAUGUGCUCCUUCCCCUAAGACACAGACGUAAGCACACAAUCAAUUUAUAACGAAAAAAAAAAAAAA